rnacentral:rRNA from 1 species
GACGAACGCUGGCGGCGUGCCUAAUACAUGCAAGUCGAGCGGAACUGGGGGGAGCUUGCUCCUUCCAGUUUAGCGGCGGACGGGUGAGUAACACGUGGGCAACCUGCCCUGCAGAUCGGGAUAACUCCGGGAAACCGGUGCUAAUACCGAAUAGUUUGGCGCCUCUCCUGAGGCGCUACGGAAAGGCGGUUUCCGCUGUCACUGCAGGAUGGGCCCGCGGCGCAUUAGCUAGUUGGUGGGGUAACGGCCCACCAAGGCGACGAUGCGUAGCCGACCUGACAGGGUGCCCGGCCACACUGGGACUGAGACACGGCCCAGACUCCUACGGGAGGCAGCAGUAGGGAAUCUUCCGCAAUGGACGCAAGUCUGACGGAGCAACGCCGCGUGAGUGACGAAGGUUUUCGGAUCGUAAAACUCUGUUGUGAGGGAAGAACACGUACCAACUAACUAUUGGUACCUUGACGGUACCUCACCAGAAAGCCACGGCUAACUACGUGCCAGCCGCCGCCGUAA